rnacentral:rRNA from 1 species
ACCUGAUGCAGCCAUGCCGCGUGUGUGAAGAAGGCCUUCGGGUUGUAAAGCACUUUCAGUUGUGAGGAAAAGUGAGUAGUUAAUACCUGCUCACCGUGACGUUAACAACAGAAGAAGCACCGGCUAACUCCGUGCCAGCAGCCGCGGUAAUACGGAGGGUGCGAGCGUUAAUCGGAAUUACUGGGCGUAAAGCGCACGCAGGCGGUUUGUUAAGCUAGAUGUGAAAGCCCCGAGCUCAACUUGGGAUGGUCAUUUAGAACUGGCAGACUAGAGUCUUGGAGAGGGGAGUGGAAUUCCAGGUGUAGCGGUGAAAUGCGUAGAUAUCUGGAGGAACAUCAGUGGCGAAGGCGACUCCCUGGCCAAAGACUGACGCUCAUGUGCGAAAGUGUGGGUAGCGAACAGGAUUAGAUACCCUGGUAGUCCACACCGUAAACGCUGUCUACUAGCUGUUUGUGRCUUUAAGCCGUGAGUAGCGAAGCUAACGCGAUAAGUAGACCGCCUGGGGAGUACGGCCGCAAGGUUAAAACUCA